rnacentral:hammerhead_ribozyme from 1 species
AUGCAGCUAACGAGUCUGAAAUAAGACGAAACGCGCGUUAUGGAU